UUGAUGACGAGUGGCGGACGGGUGAGUAAUGUAUGGGGAUCUGCCGAAUGGAUUGGGACAACAGUUGGAAACGACUGCUAAUACCGAAUAAUGUCGCGAGACCAAAGGGUGCUUACGGGCACUUGCCAUUUGAUGAACCCAUAUGAGAUUAGCUAGUUGGUGGGGUAAAGGCCUACCAAGGCGACGAUCCAUAGCGGGUCUGAGAGGAUGAUCCGCCACAUUGGGACUGAGACACGGCCCAA
rnacentral:rRNA from 1 species